UGAGGUAGGCCGAGUAGAAGGUAA
rnacentral:miRNA from 1 species